rnacentral:rRNA from 1 species
AGAAUCAACGCUGGCGGCGCGCUUAACACAUGCAAGUCGCACGAGAAAGGGAGCAAUCCUGAGUAAAGUGGCGUACGGGUGAGUAACACGUGGAUAAUCUACCUCUUGGUGGGGAAUACCCCCGGGAAACUGGGGACAAUACCGCAUAAGCUGCCCUUUUAACUAAAGGGACAGGAAAGCAGCAAUGCGCCGAGAGAGGAGUCCGCGGCCGAUUAGUUUGUUGGCGGGGUAACGGCCCACCAAGACGAAGAUCGGUAGCCGGCCUGAGAGGGCACACGGCCACACUGGCACUGAAACACGGGCCAGACUCCUACGGGAGGCAGCAGUGGGGAAUCUUGCAUAAUGGGGGAAACCCUGAUGCAGCGACGCCGCGUGAGCGAUGAAGCCCUUCGGGGUGUAAAGCUCUUUCGACGGGAACGAUAAUGACGGUACCCGAAGAAGAAGCUGCGGCUAACUACGUGCCAGCAGCCGC